UGUUAAGGUGGAAGGCUACAUCGUCACAAACAUGUCUGACUUCCGUUCGAAACGCCAUUGUGUUCCGGAUUGAUAACAUUAUGUCGUGGUACAAAAUAGCUAUACACCGUUUAAUUGAACUCUUCUAACUAAGGAGACGAGAUAGGACUGAAAUCACCAAAACGCUUAGAAAAUAUGUCAAUUUUCUUCCUGAUUAAAGCUUUUAACUAACAUUGAUUAUCAGCUGUUUUGUACGGAAAACGUGGACUCUAAAUAAUAUACCGUUUCCCUGCUCUGCUGCUAUUGGCAAUACAUUUUUGUCAUGUCAUCUGCAACAGACGAUCAUACAUAUGUGGCGGAUUAUCGAUAUAGAUACAUCUAGGUAGCAAUAGCAGUGGAAGCCCGGAUUUGCAAGCAAAAUGAGGGAAAGACAGGAUUCUGAAAAGGAGCAUGUUUUUCAUUUCCACACAUGCAUGUGUAUCACUAUGGACAUCUAAUGUUUUUGUGGGAUUUUGUCCAGCAGUUUGCCUUAACAGAAUUUUUUUAUAUUUUAGUUUCAUAUUUAUGUGGAUUCCAAUAAAAAUCAUACAAACUUCA